AAGCUUAGGUCCCAUAGUUUGUGGGAAGUGUGGAGGUAGUAAACACAACAUUAGGACUUGCAAAGGUCCUUCAAUUGCUUCAAGUUCAAAGAAAAAAGAGAAAAAUUCCUCAAGGAAAUCCAAUGUUGUGCCUAUUGGAACUAAUUCUACAGUUGCAUCGGCUGAUGGUACUAAUUCAACACAGGGGACUCCUCUGGUAGGUCGAGAUUUUCCACCUGAAAGGCCAAGUCCAUCAGCACAGGUAUAUAUUAAGUAGUAUUAUUUUUCUUAUAAGUAAACUUGCAAAUGAGUUUAUUAGCAUGAAAGAUUUCUAUUAUCCAGUUGAGGAAUGCUUCAAGUUCAGGAGUAACUGUUUCAAGUUCAGUAGUGCCAUCUCAAGUUGCAUCAAGUUCAUCUAUGUGGAGGUUUGGCUUUGGAGUAACACCAACUAUGGCAAUGCUAGAUAGACAAAGUGUUGUGAGGGGAGUGCCUGCAUUCAGGACCCCUCCUGUGAGGCCAUCGACUGUACCCCCGAACCAGCAAAUCAACAAAUCAGUACAAACUCAGUUCAUUUUCAAGGGACAACAAUCACUGUCAUUGGAAACCAUGCAUGCUGCUGGUCCUGCAACUGCAAAAAGAUUUGCUAGAUACCUCAACCUCAACCAAAAGCCCCCUUCACAGUAAAGAAAUGUUGGGUAAUGCCAUUUGUAAUUUUUUGACUAGAUCUGAACUUUUUGAUCUGAGGUAUAUAUUGUGUUUGCUUUUGUAAAGUUGGAAGUGAUAUGAGGCAUAUACUCUGGUUCUUUUUGUAAAGUUAGAAGUGAUCUAAGGUAUAUAUUCUGAUUCUUUUUGUAAAGUUGGAAGGAGCUAAAGGUGUUAAUAUUAGGCGCUAAGCUUCUCGAUAUUGGGGAGUUAAAUACAGAUAUGCAUGUUAGCUUGUGAAAGCACUGUAUUUUUUGUAUAAUAGGUACCAAAUUCAAGUCCUAUAUGGAUUUGGUAUUUGUUAUAUUUAGGGGAAGGGAUUUGUUUCUUUGUUUAGGCUUGUAAAGACUAGUAUGUAUCUCAUAUAAAUUUCAAUGGUAU